rnacentral:rRNA from 1 species
AUGAACGCUGGCGGCGUGCCUAAUACAUGCCCGUCGAGCGCACGGACGAGAAGCUUGCUUCUCUGAUGUUAGCGGCGGACGGGUGAGUAACACGUGGAUAACCUACCUAUAAGACUGGGAUAACUUCGGGAAACCGGAGCUAAUACCGGAUAAUAUUUUGAACCGCCUGGUUCAAAAGUGAAAGACGGUCUUGCUGUCACUUAUAGAUGGAUCCGCGCUGCAUUAGCUAGUUGGUAAGGUAACGGCUUACCAAGGCAACGAUGCAUAGCCGACCUGAGAGGGUGAUCGGCCACACUGGAACUGAGACACGGUCCAGACUCCUACGGGAGGCAGCAGUAGGGAAUCUUCCGCAAUGGGCGAAAGCCUGACGGAGCAACGCCGCGUGAGUGAUGAAGGUCUUCGGAUCGUAAAACUCUGUUAUUAGGGAAGAACAUAUGUGUAAGUAACUGUGCACAUCUUGACGGUACCUAAUCAGAAAGCCACGGCUAACUACGUG